UACGGAGGGUGCAAGCAUUGAUCGGAAUUACUGGGCGUAAAGGGCGCGUAGGCGGUUAGAUAAGUCAGAUGUGAAAUUCCGGGGCUCAACCCCGGAGCUGCAUUUGAAACUAUAAGACUAGAGUACAGUUAGGGAAAACGGAAUUCCACGUGUAGCGGUGAAAUGCGUAGAUAUGUGGAAGAACACCGGUGGUGAAGACGGUUUUCUGGGCUGAAACUGACGCUGAGGCGCGAAAGCUAGGGGAGCAAACAGG
rnacentral:rRNA from 1 species